UACGGGGGGGGGCAAGCGUUGUUCGGAAUUACUGGGCGUAAAGGGCUCGUAGGUGGCCAACUAAGUCAGACGUGAAAUCCCUCAGCUUAACUGGGGAACUGCGUCUGAUACUGGAUGGCUUGAGUUUGGGAGAGGGAUGCGGAAUUCCCGGUGUAGCGGUGAAAUGCGCAGAUAUCGGGAAGAACACCCGUGCGAAGGCGGCUAGCUCGUCGGACGGUACUGGACGGCUGAGACGCGAAAGCGUCGGG
rnacentral:rRNA from 1 species